rnacentral:piRNA from 1 species
UGUCCUCUCCUGCACCCUGAUUAAUAAGGC